rnacentral:rRNA from 1 species
UGGGGAAUUUUGGACAAUGGGCGAAAGCCUGAUCCAGCAAUGCCGCGUGUGUGAAGAAGGCCUUCGGGUUGUAAAGCACUUUUGUCCGGAAAGAAAUCCUCUGGGUUAAUACCUCGGGGGGAUGACGGUACCGGAAGAAUAAGCACCGGCUAACUACGUGCCAGCAGCCGCGGUAAUACGUAGGGUGCAAGCGUUAAUCGGAAUUACUGGGCGUAAAGCGUGCGCAGGCGGUUUUGUAAGACGGAUGUGAAAUCCCGGGCUUAACCUGGGAACUGCAUUCGUGACUGCAAGGCUAGAGUAUGGCAGAGGGGGGUAGAAUUCCACGUGUAGCAGUGAAAUGCGUAGAGAUGUGGAGGAAUACCGAUGGCGAAGGCAGCCCCCUGGGCCAAUACUGACGCUCAUGCACGAAAGCGUGGGGAGCAAACA